rnacentral:ncRNA from 1 species
ACCAAGGAGUCUAACAUGUGCGCGAGCCGCGGGGCAGUACGAAACCCGUAAGGCGAAAUGAAGGUGAACGCCGGCGCGGUCCGGCGGAGGUUGGAUCCCGUCCCGUCGGGGCGGGCGCACUACCGGCCGAUCUUCUCCGCCCUGUCGGCGAGGUCGAGCGAGAGCGUGCAAGUCGGGACCCGAAAGAUGGUGAACUAUGCCUGAGGAGGUUGAAGCCAGAGGAAACUCUGGUGGAGGACCGUAGCGAUUCUGAGGUGCAAAUCGAUCGUCAAAUUUGGGUAUAGGGGCGAAAGACUAAUCGAACCGUCUAGCAGCUGGUUCCCUUCAAAGU